rnacentral:rRNA from 1 species
AAGUCGAACGAAGUAGCAAUACUUAGUGGCAGACGGGUGAGUAACAUGUAGGUAUCUUCCCUUUGGUGAGGAAUAACACGAGGAAACUUGUGCUAAUACCUCAUAAGUCUUUACGGAGAAAGCUUUAUGCGCCGAAGGAUGAGCCUGCAUUUGAUUAGUUUGUUGGUGGGGUAAUGGCCUACCAAGACUUUGAUCAAUAGCUGAUCUGAGAGGAUGAUCAGCCACAUUGGGACUGAGACACGGCCCAAACUCCUACGGGAGGCAGCAGUAGGGAAUAUUGCACAAUGGAGGAAACUCUGAUGCAGCGAUGCCGCGUGAGUGAAGAAGGCCUUUGGGUUGUAAAGCUCUUUCGUCGGGGAAGAAAAUGACUGUACCCGAAUAAGAAGGUCCGGCUAACUUCGUGCCAGCAGCCGCGGUAAUACGAAGGGACCUAGCGUAGUUCGGAAUUACUGGGCUUAAAGAGUUCGUAGGUUGUUAAAAAAGUUGGUGGUGAAAUCCCAGAGCUUAACUCUGGAACUGCCAUCAAAACUUUUUAGCUAGAGUAUGAUAGAGGAAAGCAGAAUUUCUAGUGUAGAGGUGAAAUUCGUAGAUAUUAGAAAGAAUACCAAUUGCGAAGGCAGCUUUCUGGAUCAUUACUGACACUGAGGAACGAAAGCAUGGGUAGCGAAGAGGAUUAGAUACCCUCGUAGUCCAUGCCGUAAACGAUGUGUGUUAGACGUUGGAAAUUUAUUUUCAGUGUCGCAGCGAAAGUAUUAAACACACCGCCUGGGGAGUACGACCGCAAGGUUAAAACUCAAAUGAAUUGACGGGGACCCGCACAAGUAGUGGAGCAUGUGGUUUAAUUCGAAGAUACGCGCAGAACCUUACCAACACUUGACAUGUUCG